AACCAUUCUCACCUGCGGCUAGACCUGCGGAGGGAUCAUUACCGAGUUUACAACUCCCAAACCCCUGUGAACAUACCUAUAUGUUGCCUCGGCGGAUCAGCCCGCGCCCCGUAAAACGGGACGGCCCGCCGCAGGAUCCACAAACUCUGUUUUUAUUGUAACUUCUGAGUAACAAAACAAAUAAAUCAAAACUUUCAGCAAUGGAUCU
rnacentral:misc_RNA from 1 species